UCCCUGGUGGUCAAGUGGUUAAGACUCUGCACUGCCAAUGCAUGGGGCACAGGUUGGAUACCUGGUCAGGGGAA
rnacentral:tRNA from 1 species